rnacentral:lncRNA from 1 species
CUUAAUUGUAUGUGAUGAAAAGGUUCAAGUUUGGGGUUGUACGGGGGAAAAAUGAAAAAGCAAGUAAAAGGCAUUGAGCUCAAUUGUUGUGAAAGGAGAAAAAUUCAUGAGAAAAAGAAAAGAAAAGAAGAAAAGCAUGAAGAUGAGCUCAAUGAAAAAGAAAAGAAAAGGGAAGAAGUUGGGAAUGAGAAAUUUUGGUGAGAAAGUUGUGCUUAAUUGUUGAAUAUUUUGAUAGUUCUCUUGACUCAAGGAUUUUGCAUUCUAGAAAAAACCAAUUUUUCUUGUUAGCCCAACCUCAUUACAAGCCUUGAAAAAGUCCUUUUGAUGGCAUUUUCAUGUAAAGAUGUUGAUUGUUUGAGAUGAAUGACAAUUUUGUUUCAUGUGACUUGUGAACAAUAGAG